rnacentral:snoRNA from 1 species
AUCAUCAAAUGAUGAAUUUGGAAAAAAAAAAUCUUAGGACACCUUCCUACAUAGCUUUAAUAUUAAAGCUAUGGAUGAGAAGAACAUUUCCUUUCUGAUGAUGAG